ensembl:lncRNA
UUUGGUGCUUAGAUGUAUUCUUUUCCUUUGAUUAUGCGAUAAUUUGGGCUUGACGCAUAAUGGUUAAUUCAGAAUCCACUACCAUCACUUUCUCUCUUCUGGGAUAAUCUCUACCAUGGAGGCUAGAAUAGUGAAUUCCCAAGCUCUGAGUCUCUCCUGCACAUAAGGGUUCCCACACGACUCAGUUUUGGCCAAAGGGACAUGGGUAGGAAUUCCUCGAAGAAGAUCUUUUCCCAUAAAAAGGAAAAGCCUUGCUAGUAGCCUCUUGGUCACUUUGCCACUUAACUGGAAUGCAGGUUGGAGGUGGAGCAACCAUCUUGUGACCAUGAGAGGAUGAACAUGAGGAUGGUACGUUGAUGGCACAUUGAGGAGAGUAGGCCAGACAGAGCUCCAGUCCUGCAUGACACUGUGGAGGCCUGACUUCCUUUAGAUUUUAUAUUGUGUGGGGAAAAUAAAUCCUGAACUCAUUAAGCUACUGUUAGUCCAAUUUUCUAUUACCUGCCACGAAUACAUUACCUCAUAGAGUAACUAUAAUUUAUAAUAUUAUUAUAAUAAAAGUCUUCUCCCCUCCACAGCAGAAAUCUCCCAAUGACUGUGUCUCUCUUACAUCUUUCAUCCACUUAUCUUGUUCUCUCUGCUGUCUCCCUUCUCUUCUCUCUAUCAGGUCUUGACUCAUCAAGUUUGGAAUCUAGGGAAGGUUAUAUAUAGGAGAAAUGCAAUGCCCUGAACAGCAGUGGUAGUUUGGAAGCACAGUCAGUAACACGUGCAGUCCCUUCACAUCUUGAUUGUGUUCUCUCCAAAGGAAAGAGUGUCCAUCAGACGACUUGGCUGAAUGUGUGCCCAGACCCUUGGCCAGAAGAGUUGAGGAUUCGAGGAAGGGUGAAAAUGCCACCAGAGGCAUAGAGCCAGGAGAGAUGGUGUGGCAGCUCCUCAUGUUGGAAUGUGAAUGUUACCUCCACAUUUGGUAAGCCCUUGGGUAUUAGAGAACAUAUUUCAGUUCUUUUUGGGCUACACGGCCUUUUUGGGCUACACGGCCUUUUGUGUUCUGUGGUAAACCCACACAAGCCUUGUCAUCUCAGCAAAAUCAUCAGGCUCUAGUUAGAAAAGCAUUCCUCCCCACAGAUAAGAAAAAGAAGCCUCCAAUCCAAAAACAGCCAAGUCAACAAAGGAAAAUUGAAAAGAUGCCCAGACUACAGCACAGAGACAUAUUAACUCAGAAAGGAAAAUGUCUUUUUCCCCUCGAGCUGUUUAUUCAGAACUUUUUAAUGUAACCAGGUGACAUUGGGUAAUGUUGAUAUAACUACAGUUCCUUACUUUUCUUUCAACACAACGAUAUGCUCUGCCUUCUUUCUAUAAUUUCUUUAUCUGGUAAUACCGAGGAUAAAAAAAAUACCUAGGAUAUUUUGGGUGAAAUAAGCCUCUCUUGUUUCCUAUAUAAAGCCAUGUGGAAUCACAGGUAGAGAGAACAGGCAAAGACACAUCCCACUGACAGGUAACUUUAUCCGAAUAUUUGCUUGAAUCUGUCUUGCAUAUUGUGAUUUAGUUACUUUAUUUCAAAGUCUACACUAUUUUUUUUUCUGGCAUGUUACUGCAUUGCACAUCACUACUAUAUUAUAAGGCCAUUUUCCAUGGAGUGUGUAUAUACACGCAAACGUAGGAUUUCAGAAUGAAUACUCUUACUGUGAAGCCUCUGAAAAUGCUGCUUAGGAAUUGGGCAAUUUCCUUUACUGAGAGUCCAAUUUACCUUGUAUAUUUUAUAGGUUACCUUUGAGAAUGUUCAGCUUACAUAACCCCCUCCACCAUCUCUCUCUACAGCUGCCUGAAGGACAUACCUCUAGGAAAUGCCCUUUCAUCCUCUCCCACUCAUAGCUGUUUUGUGUCCAUCCUCUGAAUGCCUCCUUCCUUUGUCUCUGAAGACUUGAAGCUAACCCCUUCCCAACAUUACCAAAGAUUUUUGCUCUAGGUCCCCUACCAGAGUCCCUGCUUCUACUGCUCUGCUAAAAAAACCUGUCUUCAGUUACCUACAGCUUCCACUACUCCUUCUUUCUCUGAAUUCUUACUCCUUAUAGUUCCUGGGAUAUCUAGCUGCAGUUAUUGAUUCAUCCAUUGAAAAAACAUUUGAUUAGCAACAGGAACCAUUCUAGGCUCUGUAGAUAAUGCAGUGAUAAGGCAGGUAAGAGUCUAUGAGUCUAGACAGACAAGAGUCCAAUGAACACAUUAAUAAAUAAGAAAACCAGGUAUUAUGAUAAAACCUGGUGUUAUGAUACAAUAAAAUGGGGGUUAGGAGACACAGAGGAACAAGGGGGCUUUCUAGCAGGAAACAUUUCCAUUGAAACUUGAAUGUUACGAGUUUCUUCAUCACUGACCUUAUGAUCUGCGUUCUGUGUCCUAAUAUGAUUAAUUCAUCAAAACAACAACCACUAACACUUUUCAGGAAGGAAUUUUAAAAGGAAAAUGGUACAUGCUUUGUGAUACUGCAUUUGUGUUUUUGGAGAAUGGGAUAAUCAUUUAUUUCUUCAUGCACAUACAACUUACAAUACUCUCAUUCAUGGGGAAGCAUGAAAUGAACUGCGCUGUGUGGGACCAUGGUAUAGGAUGUGGAGAAGAUGCUCUGCAUAGAACUGCUCAAGUUAUCAUGUCUCUGUCUUUAUCAUCAGGAUGUACCUGAAAGCUCUUGUGGGGGAGGGAGAGAGAAAGAGAGAAAGAGAGAGAGAGAGAGAGAAAGCAUAAGAUUAUCUCUGUGACUGAAGAGUCUGAAUAGGUAACCCUGGAAAACCUCAAAUGCAUUUAUGUCCAGCUUUCCUCUAUGAAAAAUGAAUUGGAAGGAGAACCAAUCCCAGGAGCAUUUGUGAAGUAGGUAACAAAUGUAAGUGACAUGUAACAAGAAAAUGGUUGGCAGCAAAACAGACAAAUGAUGUAGGGUUAGAGUUAAGUCAAUACCAUUGUUUUGGUCAAAAUUAAAAUGAUUUUAACUCCUAUUCAUUGCAUGUCAAUUUUAUUUGGCUAGCUUUAAAAUUUUACAGUCCUAUGGUAUCAAAACUCAGGGUUUCAAAUAAGAUGUAAAAAACUCUCUUUGUGUUCAACUGCUUUACUAGCUUAUCAUACUUUGCAAACAUCUCCUGAUAUUUCCAGUCUUGAAUAAAAGCGGACUUUGUCAACCCCUAGGUCAGUGCAAAAGUCCAGUUGAAAGCAGGCUUGAGUACUUUUAUAUAACACAUUUUUUCAAACAUAGAAAUUGUUUUGGUUGUAAAGUAGGUCUUCAUGUUACUGCCAGGCUAGGGUUAAAAGACAAUUCCGCUUUUGUAACCCAAAAUACUUAAGAGUAGGGGCAGUAAUAUCAACAUGAAGAUAAAACAAGAUUUGCCCCAGGGAAUCCAAAUGAGAUUAAUCUAUCAGGCAAAUGACAGUGAAAUGCAAUAAAGACAAAGAUGGCAGGCACAUGAGAUCAUCAACUGUGAGUGAUUUUUCCCUCAAAACUCAUGCAGUUAUAAAUAUAUGAGAAUAUCUCCCUAGCUGGAAAUAUAAUAAGAAAGGUGUAUUAGUUUCCUAGGGCUGCCAUAACCACCACAAAGUUGGUGGCUUAAGACAACAAAUCUAUUAUCUCAAAAUUGUGGAGGCUAAAAGCCCCAAAUUAUGGUGUCACCAAAGCCAUGCUCCCUCUGAAGACUCUAGGGACAAAUUCUUCCUUGCCCCUUCCUAGCCUCUGGUGGGUCCUGGCAAUCCUUGGCAUUCCC